AAGACUAUAGACCUGCGGAGUACCUGCGGAAGGAUCAUUAUCGUAUUGUAACAAUUGGGGGGGCCACCGUGGGCUGUCGCUGACCCUUUGAAAGGGGGGUCGUGCACGCCCCCAUAGUGUCAUCCUCAUACAAUCCAACUCACCUCUGUGCAUCACCGCGUGGGUUCCUUUCUGGGUCGAGUCAGACUGGCUCAGAAAAAAGGGGCUUGCGUUUUCCAUACAAAAACCCUUAUAAAUCCA
rnacentral:misc_RNA from 1 species